UCAGUCCCUCUAUCCCCA
rnacentral:tRNA from 1 species